rnacentral:lncRNA from 1 species
ACAUAACAAAUAAAAGAAAAAAACGUUUGGAUAAUAAAUCCAAAAUUGAAUAACUAUCCAUGAAAUUUACUCUCUUUUUUCACACGUUUAUAAGACGGAACAACCAAAGGUUUAAAAUAAAAGCCUAUAGAAUGUCGAACUUGUUACAGUACGUUUGAAAAUUGUGAGAUCAGUCAGAAUAUCCUCUACACAGUCAAGUUUCGUACUAAAAUUGUAACGAAUCAAUAUAUUCUUUAUUCUGCGUAUUAAGCAUAUAAAGAUGAAUUAAUUUGCCAAACGUUGCAAAUUGCAAUUAUAUUGUGAACAAUAAAUUAAACCAAAGCUAGAUAUUACUAGAAUAUUCU